CAGUCGCCACGGGAAUACAGAGGGUGCGAGCGUUAAUCGGAUUUACUGGGCGUAAAGCGCGCGUAGGUGGUUUGUUAAGUUGGAUGUGAAAUCCCCGGGCUCAACCUGGGAACUGCAUCCAAAACUGGCAAGCUAGAGUAUGGUAGAGGGUGGUGGAAUUUCCUGUGUAGCGGUGAAAUGCGUAGAUAUAGGAAGGAACACCAGUGGCGAAGGCGACCACCUGGACUGAUACUGACACUGAGGUGCGAAAGCGUGGGGAGCAAACAGGAUUAGAUACCCCGGUAGUCCCUGUCUCUUAUAC
rnacentral:rRNA from 1 species